rnacentral:lncRNA from 1 species
GUCCCCAAAUGGUGGACAUCCUCACAGCACGUCUUUUUAGGGCACCUUGAUGGGCCGAGGAGAACCUGCCGCUACUUCCGUGUCUGGGCUGAGGUCCUCCUGGGGACCAUAUGCAUUUCUGAUGGAGGACAGUAAGAGAGCCACUCACAGGAAAGCAGUGGCCGCAGGAGUGUGGCCGGAAGCUUCUGGGGUGGCGUGAAGCUGGCCGGGGGGAGCGGGUCACAGAGACACAAGCCUGAGUGCCUGUCCUUUCGGAGGCAAACUGAACAGGACAGAUAUCAAGGCACCUCUAAAAUCUGCUGGGACCUGACUCCCAAGGCUCAGGGUCCCGGGCAACCCCAGGAAGUCUCACAGAGGAACAUUUGCAGGCCCCAUUUAUUGAGGUCACACUACAUUGGGGAACUCGCUAGAUGCUUAGGAUCGUGAUUUUGUUUGAUCUUCACAGCACCCCCAGGAGGUAGCACGUGAGUCAGAGCUCACUCAGCUAUGAGAAAAAACUCGGCCACAUUCAAAAUGGGGCAACUGGAACUGUGCGGGGCCUGCUUAGAGUGUGGGAAGAAGAGACACAGAAUCCAGGCCAUCCCCAGGGCCUGGGGACCGGACACUGGAGUGGGUCACCAUCAGCACAUGCCCCUUCUCCGCCUCCAUCUAUAUGCAAGCUUUUCUCCUGUUACCAUGGAAAGGCCUUUGUUCAACCAAAAGGCAAGCAGCCCGGACUCCACUGUGAGCCUCUCUGGGCAAACCCUGGGAAAGAGUCUUCGUGCCUCACUUGUGUGCAGGGCCCCAUCUGGCCAACCCCUGAGAGCAGGAGGGCACCGAUCUGGGACAUGUGCCCACCCUGUGAAAGCUGGGCCUAUUCAAGCAAGAAGGGCAGGUGUGAGAACCUACCUGGUCCAGGUAGGGCUGAUCCUUUUUGACCGAUGAGGUGCCAAGGCUUGGGGAGGUUGCCUGGCUUCCCCAGGGGUUGGUCCAAGUCCAGCUCUCCGAGCUGCCUCUGGGCUCUUCACUUUGCUGUGGGGCUGCUCUGGCCGCUACCCACGAUGGUCUUCCAGGCACAGCUCAACAUAUCCAUGCUGGGUCCUGUCUGAAUGGACCAUGGAUUAUGCCUGUGGCCCCAGCUACUCAGGAGGCUGAGCAGGGAGGACGCUGGUUGGGUUGAAGGCCCACUUGAGCAAUUUAGCAAGACCAUAUCUAAAGGGGAGGGGGCAAGGAAAAGAAAAAGAGAGAGUAUAGGGGCAAAACUGGACAUGGACAUGUAUUAGUUUCCUAUUGCUGCUGUAACAAGUCACCACAAACAUAUUGACUUGACACAGCCCAAAUUUAUUAACUAGCUGUUCUGAAGGUUGGAUGUCCCCAAAUCACUAGGCUAAGAUCAAAGUGUCCGUAGGGCUGCAUCCCUUCUGGAGGCUCCAAGGCAGAACCCAUUUGAUGCCAUUUCCUGCCACUCAGGGCCACUGUAUUCCUGGUCCUGGCUCCUUCCCUGCACCACCUCAGCAUCUGCCUCCAUGACCAGAUCUGCUCUGACUGUGGCCCUUCUGCCUCUCUUAGAAGGACCUUAGUGACUAAAUUAGUCACACA